rnacentral:hammerhead_ribozyme from 1 species
GUACUGCUGGAGAGUCCCAAACUAGGACGAAACAACCGUCCAGUAC